CAGCAGCCGCGGGAAUACGGAGGGAGCUAGCGUUGUUCGGAAUUACUGGGCAUAAAGCGCGCGUAGGCGGUUACUCAAGUCAGAGGUGAAAGCCCGGGGCUCAACCCCGGAACUGCCUUUGAAACUAGGUGACUAGAAUCUUGGAGAGGUCAGUGGAAUUCCGAGUGUAGAGGUGAAAUUCGUAGAUAUUCGGAAGAACACCAGUGGCGAAGGCGACUGACUGGACAAGUAUUGACGCUGAGGUGCGAAAGCGUGGGGAGCAAACAGGAUUAGAUACCCCAGUAGUCCCUGUCUCUUAUAC
rnacentral:rRNA from 1 species